rnacentral:rRNA from 1 species
GGACGAACGCUGGCGGCGUGCUUAACACAUGCAAGUCGAACGGGAGUAUUGAAGAAGCUUGCUUUAGAGAUACUUUAGUGGCGGACGGGUGAGUAACGCGUGAGGAGCUGUCCUAUGCAGGGGGACAACAGCUGGAAACGGCUGCUAAUACCCCAUAAGCCGAGAGGUAAAAGGAUCAAUCCGGCAGAGGAGGUACUCGCGUCCUAUCAGCUAGUAGGUGAGGUAACGGCUCACCUAGGCGAAGACGGGUAGCCGGCCUGAGAGGGCGAACGGCCACACUGGAACUGAGAUACGGUCCAGACUCCUACGGGAGGCAGCAGUGGGGAAUAUUGGGCAAUGGGGGAAACCCUGACCCAGCGACGCCGCGUGGGUGAAGAAAUCCUUCGGGAUGUAAAGCCCUGUUGUAUGGGAAGAGCGGAAGACGGUACCAUACGAGGAAGCCCCGGCAAACUACGUGCCAGCAGCCGCGGUAAUACGUAGGGGGCAAGCGUUGUCCGGAAAUU